GCCUGGCUGGCUCAUUGAGUAGAGCAUAUGACUCUUGAUCUUAGGGUUCUGGGUUCAAGUCCCAUGGUGGGUG
rnacentral:tRNA from 1 species